AUUGAACGCUGGCGGCAUGCCUUACACAUGCAAGUCGAACGGCAGCACGGGAGCAAUCCUGGUGGCGAGUGGCGAACGGGUGAGUAAUAUAUCGGAACGUGCCCAGUCGUGGGGAUAACGUAGCGAAAGCUACGCUAAUACCGCAUACGAUCUAUGGAUGAAAGCGGGGGAUCGCAAGACCUCGCGCGAUUGGAGCGGCCGAUAUCAGAUUAGGUAGUUGGUGAGGUAAAGGCUCACCAAGCCGACGAUCUGUAGCUGGUCUGAGAGGACGACCAGCCACACUGGGACUGAGACACGGCCCAGACUCCUACGGGAGGCAGCAGUGGGGAAUUUUUGGACAAUGGGCGCAAGCCUGAUCCAGCAAUGCCGCGUGCAGGAUGAAGGCCUCGGUUGUAACUAGCUUUGUACGGUAACGAACGGUAGAGCUCUAAUACAGUUUG
rnacentral:rRNA from 1 species